rnacentral:rRNA from 1 species
UAGGGAAUCUUCCACAAUGGACGCAAGUCUGAUGGAGCAACGCCGCGUGAGUGAAGAAGGUUUUCGGAUCGUAAAGCUCUGUUGUUGGUGAAGAAGGAUAGAGGCAGUAACUGGUCUUUAUUGACGGUAAUCAACCAGAAAGUCACGGCUAACUACGUACCAG